AUGAACGCUGGCGGCGGGCCUAAUACAUGCAAGUCGAGCGAACAGACGAGGAGCUUGCUCCUCUGACGUUAGCGGCGGACGGGUGAGUAACACGUGGAUAACCUACCUAUAAGACUGGGAUAACUUCGGGAAACCGGAGCUAAUACCGGAUAAUAUAUUGAACCGCAUGGUUCAAUAGUGAAAGACGGUUUUGCUGUCACUUAUAGAUGGAUCCGCGCCGCAUUAGCUAGUUGGUAAGGUAACGGCUUACCAAGGCAACGAUGCGUAGCUGACCUGAGAGGGUGAUCGGCCACACUGGAACUGAGACACGGUCCAGACUCCUACGGGAGGCAGCAGUAGGGAAUCUUCCGCAAUGGGCGAAAGCCUGACGGAGCAACGCCGCGUGAGUGAUGAAGGUCUUCGGAUCGUAAAACUCUGUUAUUAGGGAAGAACAAAUGUGUAAGUAACUAUGCACGUCUUGACGGUACCUAAUCAGAAAGCCACGGCUAACUACGUG
rnacentral:rRNA from 1 species